GGCGGGGUGGCGUAGUCUUGAGGAUUACACGUUCGCUUUGGAAGCGGAUAGUCAUGGGUUCAUUUCCCAGCCCUGCCA
rnacentral:tRNA from 1 species